UGGGUCUGGAAUUGUCAGGAGGGAUUUUUGAGGCAGCUUUGGAGCUGGGGAUGUGCCAGAAGCAGCCCCUCAGGCCCCAUAAGGGGAAGAGUCUCAAUUUGAUCUCAAUGCUGAGUUGCACAGGGCAGAGCAGUUCCUCUGGGUGUCAUGUCACUUGUCUCUUGUGCAGUCUGUGUCUUCUGUGUGUGUUGUAUGUCUCUUGCCUUAGCCCUUUGAGGGGCCUAUCAGAAACCCUGGGCUCAUCCAUAGCAUCUUGUGACCUCUGCAUUCAUCAUCCUGGCUCUGGUGCCAUCAAACCUUGGUCUCAGGAGGUUGCACAGGCAUCUGAAUCUCUUCUCUUUUGGAAAGCUUCCAGUCUCAUUUCUUAAGGUCUUGCUCUGAGCAGUAUUGCCAGCUGUGCACCUGAAGGAUCCAUUACAAGAGAUGAGGAAUUAGAGGAAUGGGAAGAUAAGAAGAGGAUUCUCAGGCAGCCAUCUCUGCAGUUCUUGGAGCAAAUCAUUCUGCUAGGAUCUUUUUCCAGCCUUGUCAGCUUGCUUUCCGUCUUCCCUCAGUGAUCUCAUUUUGCAUUCUCUAAGUCCCUGUGGUUCUUCUUGCUGAGUUUUUUUGUCCCCCUGUCCUCCCCUCGUUUGUCAUGUCUUGUGUCACGGGUGCCUGCACGCAUUUGGUCUGGAGCUGCUCUGCCCUGAUGCAUAGUCAAGAUAGGACAAGGUGCAGGGACUUGCGUUUUGUACUGUGGGGUGGUGUUGGACUCUAGGUGAGAGCUGCAGAUUCUCUCAAGAUGUCUGGGGCUGUCCAGCUAUUAUGCUGGGCUUUAAAUUUUGUUCUAAGUUCUUUUUACCUUCAGUUUUCUGGGGUUUUGGGUAGAAAAUGUGUGGGGAUGUCUCUUAGCUCUCAGGUAACCACUCAUUGACCUCCCGCUUCUGUCUCGCAGGUCCCCGAGGCAGAUUUCCAGUUCUCAUGCGCCACCUUUCAUGGAACCUAUCCCUCGAUGUCGAGGACCAGCAGCCAGAGGAUGCGGUCAAGCAUCCUAUUCAGCGUACCGUUUCAGGAAAUUGAACUGUCAUCAACUGUCAUGGUCUAGAAGGACGAUUAUGUUCUGUUACUAUGUAUGAGGUUUUAUUUUGUUUUAGCAAGAGGCAGAAACCCCCCAGUGAUGCUGCAGCCGUCCCAGCCUUUAAAUACUUUGGGGAUGUGCUUGCCAGCAUUCCCGAAAGAGCACUGGGAAAGCACCAGGAAAUCACAGAACCGUUUAGGCUGGAAAAGAGCUCUGACAUCACCGAAUCCAAGCUGUGCCCAUCCCCACCUUGUCCCCAGCCCAGAGCCCUGAGUCCAGGACAGCUCCAGGGACCCCAAACCUCCCCGGGCAGCUCCUUCCAGUGCCCGGCCUCCCUUUUCAUGUGGGAAUUCCUCCCGAACUCCCCUGGUCCAGCUCCCAUCCCAUUGCUGGAUCAGAGCCUGACCCUAUUGAAUUUUGGGGUUGUCACCACAUCCUCCAUCCCGUUUUUCAGGGCAGUGACAGCGAGUACGAGGUGGACCCGGGGCACCAGAAGGCGCAUUCCUUUGUCAACCACUACAUCAGCGACCCCACCUACUACAACUCGUGGUGGCGGCAGCUGAAGGGCAUCUGCCAGGCACAGGCUUACAGCUACACAGAGAGCGAUUCGAGCGAACCCGAGCACACCCCACUCUCCAACAGCACCUCCACGCAGCAGGGCAGCCUGUUCCGCCCCAAAGCCAGCAGGACUCCCACCCCCCAGACCCCUGGCAAUGCCCCCAGCAGCCAGCCUGGGACCCUGUACCGCCCUCCCAGCAGCCUGGCCCCCGGCUCCAGAGCUCCCAUCGCUGGGUUUUCCUCUUUCGUUUGAUAUUUAAACAGAAGGGAAAAAAAAAAACCAACAGGAGAGGGGGGAAAAAUUAGGG